rnacentral:rRNA from 1 species
UGCGAGUCGAGAGGGUUCGGCCCUCGGCGGACUGCUCAGUAACACGUGGAUAAUCUGCCCUUAGGUGGAGGAUAACCUCGGGAAACUGAGAAUAAUACUCCAUAGGUCUAGGAUGCUGGAAUGCAUCUAGACUCAAAGAUUUAUCGCCUAAGGAUGAGUCUGCGGACUAUCAGGUUGUAGUCAGGGUAAUGGCCUGACUAGCCUACGACGGAUACGGGUUGUGAGAGCAAUAACCCGGAGACGAUAUCUGAGACACGAUAUCGGGCCCUACGGGGCGCAGCAGGCGCGAAACCUUCACACUGUGCGAAAGCACGAUGAGGGAAUCCCAAGUGCUUGCACGUAAGUGUAAGCUGUUUUUCUGUCUAAAAAGCAGAGAGAGUAAGAGCUGGGUAAGACGGGUGCCAGCCGCCGCGGUAAUACCUGCAGCUCAAGUGGUGGCCGCUAUUAUUGGGCCUAAAACGUUCGUAGCCGGUUUGGUAAAUGCCUGGGUAAAUCGAGCCGCUUAACGGUACGAAUUCCGGGUAGACUGCUUAGCUUGGGACCGGAAGAAGUUAGAGGUACUCCUGGGGUAGGGGUGAAAUCCUGUAAUCCUGGGGGGACCACCAGUGGCGAAGGCGUCUAACUAGGACGGGUCUGACGGUGAGGGACGAAGCCCUGGGGCGCAAACCGGAUUAGAUACCCGGGUAGUCCAGGGUGUAAACGCUGCUUGCUUGAUGUUAGCUGGGCUCCGAGCUCAGCUAGUGUCGGAGAGAAGUUGUUAAGCAAGCUGCCUGGGAAGUACGGUCGCAA